GAUGAACGCUGGCGGCGUGCCUAAUACAUGCAAGUCGAACGGAAAGGCGCUGAUCUUGCGGGGUGCUCGAGUGGCGCACGCGUGAGUAACACGUGUGUAUCACGCACUUGUCUUUGUGAUAACUUCAGGAGACUGGGGCUCAUAUCGGAUAUGAGCUCCUGAUGCACGGGGGGGGUUGGUAAGAUUCGGCGGUUGGGGAUGGUCUCGCGGCUUAUCAGCUUGAUGGUGUGGUAGUGGCUUACCAAGGCUUCGACGGGUAGCCGGCCUGGGAGGGUGACCAGCGACAUGGGGACUGAGGGACGGCGCAGACGCCUACGGGAGGCAGCAGGGGGGAGUAUUGCAGAAUGGGCGGAAGCCUGAGGUAGCAACGCCGCGUGCGGGAUGACGGCCUACGGGUGGUAAACCGCUUUCGCCUGUGACGAAGCGUGAGUGACGGUAAUGGGUAAAGAAGCACCGGCUAACUACGUG
rnacentral:rRNA from 1 species